rnacentral:rRNA from 1 species
UGGAAGUAAAAAUCGUAACAAGGUCUCCGUAGGUGAACCUGCGGAGGGAUCAUUACACAAAUAUGAAGGCGGGCUGGAACCUCUCGGGGUUACAGCCUUGCUGAAUUAUUCACCCUUGUCUUUUGCGUACUUCUUGUUUCCUUGGUGGGUUCGCCCACCACUAGGACAAACAUAAACCUUUUGUAAUUGCAAUCAGCGUCAGUAACAAAUUAAUAAUUACAACUUUCAACAACGGAUCUCUUGGUUCUGGCAUCGAUGAAGAACGCAGCGAAAUGCGAUAAGUAGUGUGAAUUGCAGAAUUCAGUGAAUCAUCGAAUCUUUGAACGCACAUUGCGCCCUUUGGUAUUCCAAAGGGCAUGCCUGUUCGAGCGUCAUUUGUACCCUCAAGCUUUGCUUGGUGUUGGGCGUCUUGUCUCUAGCUUUGCUGGAGACUCGCCUUAAAGUAAUUGGCAGCCGGCCUACUGGUUUCGGAGCGCAGCACAAGUCGCACUCUCUAUCAGCAAAGGUCUAGCAUCCAUUAAGCCUUUUUUUCAACUUUUGACCUCGGAUCAGGUAGGGAUACCCGCUGAACUUAAGCAUAUCAAUAAGCCGGAGGAA